UUUUUUUUUUUUAAGAAGAAAACAGUCAAAUGGUACUCUCUUUGGUUUGUGGAUGUUUUUUUUCCCUCUCACAUGUUAACAGAUCAAGAUUAUCACUAUUAGAUUCAGACUGAGCUGGAUGCUGGUGAAAGCAUAUGCAAAACAUAGUCCAGUGCAACAGUCCCUCCCUGGCAGUGUGAGCUGGGAAUAGCUGGAAUUCCUCUGCUGAGUGUUCAGCAGUCAUGCUGUAUCCUUUGUUUGCACCUACCACUACUGUGCAAGCAGCUUCUUUCCAAUGGAAUCAACGUUUUAGAUGAUAUGUUGUUGGAAUGACACUAGGAAGACCUGGUAAAUGUCACCUAUGCCAAGCACAGACAGAGAGAGCCACAAAACACAGGUGGCACUGGCAGCGUCUUAGAAUAUUGUCAUUACGAAGCAACAAGAGCCUGACAUUGCAUUGUAUUUGUUCAGUUAAUGUAUUUCCACCUCUGACUUUCUGUGUCAAUCCUGCCUGGUCUCUUCAGUAGCAAGGCAGUGAGGGAAGAAUGUAUCUUUUUUGAAGAAAGACACUGGGAUUUUUGCACAUAGCGUGUUAUGGUCUAGUUCUGUGACUGGGACCACAUGUCGUGCUGCGGGAUGAAGAUAAACCAACAGCAACAGGCUAGGAAGAGUCAGCUCCGUAGCUCUGCCUCUGUUCACCCAUCUCACAUUCAAUUAGUCUCUGCUUGACAUCAGGCUGGGAGCAAUAAGCUCUGAUCAGAGCAGUGGAUGUGGCAACAUGCCCGUGAGCUCCAUGUGUCAUUCCAGAACCAGACGCUGUCCCACUGGAUUCUUCCAUAAAACAGCUGAGGCAGAUACAUGGAGGCCAGAUUUGUCUUUCGUAUCUACCUACUGCACCCUCUGAGGUAAGGAUAAAAGACAGAGCCACCUACAAGAAAACAUUACAGUAGCAAUGAACUUUAAGGCAGAGGAGGACAUUCAGGAAUUUUGGUUGUUGGUCCAGAUGAAAAUGAGAAACAUUGCACAAACACCAUCGCCCUAACAAGCUCAUACGGCUUGGUGGUUUUUUGUUUCUGAAUGAUCCUUUCUCAUGUACAUUAGACUCUGGAAAUUAUACAGGCUGCUGUGUGAAGAGGUGGCAGAGCCAAAAUCCAUGUGUGGACUUGUUUGGGGAGGUUGGGCUAAAGGUGGAAUCCCAGAUUUCUGCCUUACUUCAGUGUAAACUGAAACUUUACAUCAGAGAGAUGUAUUGAGAACUGAUUCACCAUGUAGGUAGAAGAAAAUGAGAAGGAAAAUUUCAAGCCAUAGCAAGACAAAGGACGCUUCUCCUGGAAAAGAUCCAUCUCCUUGACCGCAUCUCUCUCAAUUCAAGUGUGAACAUCACUUCUUAAGAAUGGUACCGAAGUCAACAUCUGUUCCUUCAGUUUCUUCCCGUUUCACCCUUGGCAUCUCAACAGUGACCUUGAGCUCCAGUGCACACAGACAAAUACCUGCUGUUCGACCUAUUUACGCUCACAGACAAUGGCUGCGGCCCAGUGAGUUUGUUUGCCGAGCUCUGUGGUACUGUUUGUGGGGAGAAGAGGAGCUCCGCGUGCUGGCUCCCCGUGGCCCCACCUGGGUUCUCAGCGAUGUGUACAAGGUGUGCUUCUGGUGAGUGGGGAGGGCCGCCGACCGAGUAAGUGUAAUCACAGCUGCCUUCACGUGGGGGAACGUGGCGGUGGGGAACUGGGGAGGGGAUGGUUCCCAAGAGGUAACACGCAGCGUUUUCUCCCCUGAAAUCUACCAAAUAUGCUCUGACUCUCCUCAAGGGGGACCAGCCUGAACAAAGUACAAAAAAAAAAAAGGCAGC